rnacentral:lncRNA from 1 species
AGUCAUUCUCAUAAUCGCCCACGGGCUUACAUCCUCAUUACUAUUCUGCCUAGCAAACUCAAACUACGAACGCACUCACAGUCGCAUCAUAAUCCUCUCUCAAGGACUUCAAACUCUACUCCCACUAAUAGCUUUUUGAUGACUUCUAGCAAGCCUCGCUAACCUCGCCUUACCCCCCACUAUUAACCUACUGGGAGAACUCUCUGUGCUAGUAACCACGUUCUCCUGAUCAAAUAUCACUCUCCUACUUACAGGACU